rnacentral:rRNA from 1 species
UAGUCACACGUUAAGUGUGCCGCCUGGGAGUACGCCGCAAGGCUAAACUCAAGAAAUUGACGGGGCCCGCACAAGCAGAGGAGCAUGUGGCUAUUCGAUGCACGCGAGGAACCUACCUGGUUUGACAUGCAGCUGCAAGGGUAUGAAAGUAUCCCGCCUUCGAGGUGCUGCACAGUGCUGCAUGGCUGUCGUCAGUUCGUGCCGUGAGGUGUUUGGUUAAGUCCACCAACGAACGCAACCCCUUGUCCGUGUUGCCAGCGGGUGACGCCGGGAACUCGCGGACCACUGCUAGUUCACGCUAGAGGAAGGUGGGGAUGACGUCAAGUCAGUAUGGCCCUUACGCCCAGGGCUGCACACGUGCUACAGUGGCCGGUACAGAGGGAAGCGAUGCCGCGAGGCGGAGCCAACCCCAGAGAGCCGGCCCCAGUUCGGAUCGAGGUCUGCAACCCGACCUCGUGAAGUCGGAUUUGCUAGUAACGGCGUAUCAGCUACGACGCCGUGAAUGCGUUCCCGGGCCUUGUACACACCGCCCGUCACAUCAUGAAAGCCGUCUGCACCCGAAGUCCGGCAUUCGUCGGCCUAAGGUGUGGGUGGUGAUUGGGAUG